UUGGUUCAUUUUUAUUUUGCCUCCCUCCUUCCUCCCAUUCCUCUCCCCCCCCUCCUUUUUUGUGACACAGCAAGUUGGGAUAGAUCAGGGCGACAGCCCCGAUCUCACACAGACCUGCCCACUCUGCAGCUGGCCCUCUCUCUUCUUCACUUCUCCUUCCACGUCUCCUUUUUUUCCUCUCUCCCCCGCACCCCCACUCCCGCUUUACAUCUCAACUCACUUCUAGAGAAGAGAAAGCACAAAAAAAAA